AAAUUCCAUCAGCAUCAAGCGUUGCUCGAUAUAUUACUAUUUCCUUCUCCGUGGGAUGAGUGCUCGUCAGUGAUCUGUUUUUCUGGGCGGUGGAACUCCCUUCGUUCAAGUAGAGUUGACCUUUAUAAUCAAGACUAAGCUGUGCGUCAGAAAAUGAAUUAGGUAAAAGAAAGCUCCAAUAUGCAUCGUCUGAUUCAACAGAACUGUUUACUGGGUAUGCAACAAGGUUACCAUCACUUUGCAUCGCGAGAAGAAAUCGUCCACUUGAGUGAUCAGAGUUGGACAUGCUCGAAACCAACUCAUGGUCAUUGGACAGAUUCUGACCUCCUAAU
rnacentral:misc_RNA from 1 species